GUGGGCUGAACCGGGUCGUCUGAAAGGAUGUUGAAAUCCUAAUGCCUUUGGAACUAGGGAAUUGGAUCAUGCAAUUAUGAGAGCUGGCAAGUCUGAAAUCUUCAGGGCAGGCCCAUUGGCUGGAGAGCCAGGGAAGAGUUGAUGUCUGAAGACGAUUGCCUGGCAGAAUUCCGUCUUCCUCCAGGGACCUCCAUCUUUUCUCUUAUGACCUUCAAUGGAUUGAAUGAGGCCCACUCUGAUUAUGGAGGGUAAUUUGCUUUACUCAAAGCCUGUUGACUUAAAUGUUAAUCCCAUCUAAAACAUAUCUUCACAGUAACGUCUAGACUGGUGUUUGACCUAACAACUGGUCACCACGGCCUAGCCAAGUUGACAUAUAAAAUCAACCAUUGCAACCAGUA
rnacentral:lncRNA from 1 species